UUCAUGGAGAGUUUGAUCCUGGCUCAGAACGAACGCUGGCGGCGUGCCUAACACAUGCAAGUCGAACGGAGAUAAGAG
rnacentral:rRNA from 1 species